rnacentral:rRNA from 1 species
UAGGGAAUCUUCGGCAAUGGGGGGAACCCUGACCGAGCAACGCCGCGUGAGUGAUGAAGGUCUUCGGAUCGUAAAACUCUGUUAUUAGGGAAGAACAAAUGUGUAAGUAACUAUGCACGUCUUGACGGUACCUAAUCAGAAAGCCACGGCUAACUACGUGCCAGCAGCCGCGGUAAUACGUAGGUGGCAAGCGUUAUCCGGAAUUAUUGGGCGUAAAGCGCGCGUAGGCGGUUUUUUAAGUCUGAUGUGAAAGCCCACGGCUCAACCGUGGAGGGUCAUUGGAAACUGGAAAACUUGAGUGCAGAAGAGGAAAGUGGAAUUCCAUGUGUAGCGGUGAAAUGCGCAGAGAUAUGGAGGAACACCAGUGGCGAAGGCGACUUUCUGGUCUGUAACUGACGCUGAUGUGCGAAAGCGUGGGGAUCAAACAGG